rnacentral:rRNA from 1 species
CCUACGGGUGACAGUAGUGGGGAAUAUUGCACAAUGGGGGAAACCCUGAUGCAGCGACGCCGCGUGAGGGAAGAAGUAUUUCGGUAUGUAAAGCUCUAUCAGCAGGGAAGAAAAUUACGGUACGUGAUUAACAUGCCCCGGCUAACUACGUGCCAGCAGCCGCGGUAAUACGUAGGGGGCAAGCGUUAUCCGGAUUUACUGGGGGUAACGGGAGCGUAGACGGCAGCACAAGUCUGGAGUGAAAUGCCGGGGCUUAACCCCGGAACUGCUUUGGAAACUGUGCAGCUAGAGUGCAGGAGAGGUAAGUGGAAUUCCUAGUGUAGCGGUGAAAUGCGUAGAUAUUAGGAGGAACACCAGUGGCGAAGGCGGCUUACUGGACUGUAACUGACGUUGAGGCUCGAAAGCGUGGGGAGCAAACAGGAUUAGAUACCCCAGUAGUC